rnacentral:lncRNA from 1 species
CAGAGUGCGGAGCCGGGCUGGGCGUGUACAAAGUGGAGAACUCGGUCUGUCGUGCGGAGCUGGCCUUGUGGAGAUGCAGGGGGCAGGCUGCCGACAGUCUGUGGGAGGGUCUACUCGGUCUCUCUGACAGAAGCUACCCACAUCAAAGCUCUCUGUGGAGCUCUGUGCUGGCUCGAGUCUCCGCUCCACAUUCUGCAGAGACUUGCUCAAACAGCGCCUGUCCAGCACAGGCACCAUUAAAAGCCUACGUGCAGAAGACACGCAGGGAGCCUGUCCGAAUUGGCUCUGGGAAACAGCCAGGUGUGUUUCAUUCCAAAGAAAUAUCGGGAGUGGGAAGGACGUCAUCUAGAAGAAAGCCACUGGACCGCCUGUCAGUGUUGGCUAGCAACACUGCUCUGUUUGUUCUGGGAGUUGCUUCAGAGAAACGCGGAGGAUGAGACAAGAUGACACAGUAUCUCCCGAAGCAGCACCUCGCAUGCAGCUCCAAACCCAGGAGGGUAACCUUGACUAUAAGAAGCCCCUGUUGAGAUCGCUCGCUGUGAUUCUGCCCAUCAGAGACAAGUCCUUCACAAUGAAACCACAUCUGUCUCUUGAUGAAGCGUGGCAGCUAGCAGUUCCUCAGCCUUCCUGUGUCCCAGGAAUGGGCUAAGGUACUCUGCAGGUAUGCUGCCUUGUGUCAAGAAUGAGGCAAGGAUGAUGCUUCUGGAAACCAACCGAGGCAGAUGCUGGAGGUGGAAGAACUAAUUGAGGCAUUGGAUGGGGGCAGGGGACAGAAAAUGUGCCACUUGAGGAAGUGUCCCCUGAGCAACCGCUGGGCCUCAGACCUUUUUCUUUCUGUCUUACUCCAGAAAGCACGUUAGAGGGUUGGGCAGACACCAAUAUCUGACUGCCUGCUGGUCACUGAUCACAGACCCAGCAGGAAUCACAGAGAGGGGAGCUGGUGACAAAGGAUGGCUGGAAGUACACCACACAGAAAAGGGACAAUGUGAACGCUCUCAGUUAUGUUCCUAUCUUACAAACUAGACCUUGCUGCAAGAAAUCUCACAAGAUGGGGACAGUAUAUAAUGAUGAAAUGGUGAAAAUAGCAGAAAACAGCAAUUGCAACAUAAAUGAACCUAAAAUAGGCUCUCAAAAUACACGAUGUAAGAACUGGGCCUUCAUCUUCUUGUCCAUGGUCUAUGCUGCUGACGAAGACCAUGUCUAAGUCCAUGGUCCCACUGCACCUGGGAGCCAUGCUGUAUCAGUGGCUCACAUUAUCUCUAAAAGCCACACCACACAACCCAUGGUCUGUGUGCCACCUGAAGCCAUGUGGUCCUUGGCCUGUGCUGUCACUGAGGGUUAUAAUGGUGCCUGUGGCCUGUGCUAUCACUGAGGGCUGUGUUUAUGUCCGUGGUCUGUACUGCCACCAGAGACCAUGCUGAGGUCUGUGGCGCAUGCUGACACUGGAGACCACGUGGAUGUCUGCGGUCUGUGAUGUCACCAGAAACCAUUUGGAAGCCUGUGACCCGGGCUCCUGAUGACAAGGAAGGAAAAGGAAGCUUCUUUUGCUGUGCUGUCGAUGACUGCAGACUCACGGUUGAGAAAGAGGGACAAAGAAGUCUUCCAUAACAACCCCUACCUCCUCCACCCCUGCCCCACAGUAACAGCCUAGACAGAAAGCCAUUGAAGAGAACUCUUUAAAAUUGUGAUAGUGAUGCUGAAGCAUAGCUCUCCACAAUUGAUGGCUUCUGGAAGGGUUUUGGGUGGGAAGGACUCAGUUUUCUUUAAGGGGCUAGCCACUGGGAGUUUGGCCAUGCUCCAGUGAUUAUAUAGGCAACACAAA